CAGUAGCCACGGUAAUACGUAGGGUGCAAGCGUUAAUCGGAAUUACUGGGCGUAAAGCGUGCGCAGGCGGUUUGUUAAGACAGAUGUGAAAUCCCCGGGCUCAACCUGGGAACUGCAUUUGUGACUGGCAAGCUAGAGUCUGGCAGAGGGGGGUGGAAUUCCGCGUGUAGCAGUGAAAUGCGUAGAUAUGCGGAGGAACACCGAUGGCGAAGGCAGCCCCCUGGGCCAACACUGGCGCUCAUGCACGAAAGCGUGGGGAGCAAACAGGAUUAGAUACCCCCGUAGUCCCUGUCUCUUAUAC
rnacentral:rRNA from 1 species